rnacentral:rRNA from 1 species
CGUGUAGGCGGUUAGGCAAGUCAGGUGUGAAAUCCCUUGGCUCAACCAAGGAAGUGCGCUUGAAACUGCUUAACUAGAGUACAGGAGGGGAAAGUGGAAUUCCCAGUGUAGAGGUGAAAUUCAUAGAUAUUGGGAGAACACCGGUAGCGAAGGCGGCUUUCUGGCCUGAUACUGACGCUGAGACGCGAAAGCGUGGGGAGCAAACA